rnacentral:misc_RNA from 1 species
UCCGGUUUGUCACCGGCAGUCUCCCUAGAGUGCCCUUGCGUAGCAACUAGGGACAAGGGUUGCGCUCGUUGCGGGACUUAACCCAACACCUCACGGCACGAGCUGACGACAGCCAUGCAGCACCUGUGCAGAAGUCCCGAAGGAAAAUACCAUUUCUGGUAUCGUCUUCUGCAUGUCAAGUCUGGGUAAGGUUCUUCGCGUUGCAUCGUAUUAAACCACAUGCUCCACUGCUUGUGCGGGUCCCCGUCAAUUCUUUUGAGUUUCACCCUUGCGGGCGUACUCCCCAGGCGGCAUACUUAACGCGUUGGCUACGGCACAACCGGGGUUGAGUCCGGUUACACCAAGUAUGCAUCGUUUACGGCUAGGACUAC